GUUUACAGCCAUGCCACCAUGAAUAUGCCUGAUCUCGUCUUAUUUCGGAAGCUAAGCAGAGUCGGGCCUGAUUAACACUUGGAUGGGAGAUCACCUAGGAAUAUUAUUAGGUGCUGUAGGUG
ensembl:rRNA 5S_rRNA 5S ribosomal RNA